GACGAACGCUGGCGGCGUGCCUAAUACAUGCAAGUCGAACGCAGUGGGGACGGGUGAGUAACACGUGGGUAACCUCCCAUCAGAGGGGAUAACACUUGGAAACAGGUACUAAACCGAUACUGAUGGAUGGACCCGCGGUGCAUUAGCUAGUUGGUGAGGUAACGGCUCACCAAGGCCACGAUGCAUAGCCGGCCUGAGAGGGUGAUCGGCCACACUGGGACUAGGGCACGGCCCAGACUCCAUCGGGAGGCAGCAGUAGGGAAUCUUCGGCAAUGGACGAAAGUCUGACCGAGCAACGCCGCGUGAAUGAAGAAGGUUUUCGGAGCGUAAGACGCUGUUGUUAGAGGAACGGUAUCUAACCAGAAAGCCACGGCUAACUACGUGCCAGCAGCCGCGGUGAUUC
rnacentral:rRNA from 1 species